UUCAGGUUGGUUUGCAUUAAGAAGUUUAUCUAUUUUGUUGGAGAAGACACCAUAACUUUGCUAUCAGUUUAAUGACAAUUUAUUUUUAUUUUCAGUUGUGUUGACUGUUGAACUAUUAAACUUCUUUAAUUGUCAUAUUUGAAUUCUGUUGUCGUUAAAUUUCAUUAGAUCAAGACUUUGUUAGCUAUUGUGUAUUUCUGUUUGUCAAUUUCAAUGUUAUGACUUUGCAUAAUAGUAUGGUAGAAUUUUUUUUAUUUGAUUGAAAAAACCGAACAAACCGAACCAAACUAAACCGAUAUUAAUUGGUUUGGUUUGGUUCGGAUGACAUUGACAAAAAAACCGAACCAAACCGAACCGCAGUUUAUUUAAACGAUCGGAUCGGAUGGUUUUUCCUUCAAAAACCGAACCAAACCACACCGCGAACACCCCUAGCUGAAAGGCUGGGCUUGGAAGGUGCUUCCGUCGUCAUCUCUUCUCGCAAGCAGCAAAAUGUUGAAGAGGCUGCAGAGAAACUUAGGGCUAAAGGAAUUGAAGUUUUGGCCCUUGUUUGCCAUGUCUCCAACGAUCAACAGAGAAAGGAUUUGAUUCAAAAAACUGCACAGGAGUGCUAAAAUGGUGACCACAUGCUACCUUGAGGGCUCAAGAAUAUUUUGAUUCAUAGAGACACUAAUCUAUGUUAGAACUUUUAACUUUUGGUUGAACUUGUGCAAGA